GUUGGGUAGAGUGGUGCAUCUAUCUGUAGCACAAGCUUCUGGAGAACUGGUUGGGUGAAGGCUUGAGUAGUGGGUCACUGCUGAUGAUUUCUAUCCAUGUUUCUUAGAGUCUAGUGUUGACAUGGGCAUCUUCAAGUAAUUGUGAGAUGGCAAGGUUAUUAAAGACUUGGGGAAGGUGUGAGGCUGGCAACAGAGCAACAAAAACCUAGCACACUGGAGCAGUCAGAGGUUGGCAAGUCUGAGUGGAUGGUCAUCAGUAGCCACUACAAUAAAGUCCAACUACCAACUUA
rnacentral:SRP_RNA from 1 species